GGGUCGGUGGUCCCUGGGCAGGGGUCUCUGAUCCCGGACGAGCCCCCAAAUGAAAGACCCCCGAAAUGGGUGUC
ensembl:miRNA